rnacentral:rRNA from 1 species
AGUGAACGCUGGCGGUAGGCCUAACACAUGCAAGUCGAACGGCAGCACAGUAAGAGCUUGCUCUUACGGGUGGCGAGUGGCGGACGGGUGAGGAAUACAUCGGAAUCUACUUUUUCGUGGGGGAUAACGUAGGGAAACUUACGCUAAUACCGCAUACGACCUACGGGUGAAAGCAGGGGAUCUUCGGACCUUGCGCGAUUGAAUGAGACGAUGUCGGAUUAGCUAGUUGGCGGGGUAAAGGCCCACCAAGGCGACGAUCCGUAGCUGGUCUGAGAGGAUGAUCAGCCACACUGGAACUGAGACACGGUCCAGACUCCUACGGGAGGCAGCAGUGGGGAAUAUUGGACAAUGGGCGCAAGCCUGAUCCAGCCAUACCGCGUGAGUGAAGAAGGCCUUCGGGUUGUAAAGCCCUUUUGUUGGGAAAGAAAAGCAGCAGGUUAAUACCUCGCUGUUCUGACGGUACCCAAAGAAUAAGCACCGGCUAACUUCGUG